CCUACGGGGGGCAGCAGUGGGGAAUAUUGCACAAUGGGGGAAACCCUGAUGCAGCGACGCCGCGUGAGUGAAGAAGUAUUUCGGUACGUAAAGCUCUAUCAGCAGGGAAGAAAAUGACGGUACCUGACUAAGAAGCCCCGUCUAACUACGUGCCAGCAGCCGCGGUAAUACGUAGGGGGCAAGCGUUAUCCGGAUUUACUGGGUGUAAAGGGAGCUGAGACGGCAGCGCAAGUCUGGAGUGAAAUCCCAUGGCUUAACCAUGGAACUGCUUUGGAAACUGUGCAGCUAGAGUGCAGGAGAGGUAAGCGGAAUUCCUAGUGUAGCGGUGAAAUGCGUAGAUAUUAGGAGGAACACCGGUGGCGAAGGCGGCUUACUGGACUGUAACUGACGUUGAGGCUCGAAAGCGUGGGGAGCAAACAGGAUUAGAUACCCUUGUAGUC
rnacentral:rRNA from 1 species